AACAUUUUUUCAUAUAUUUUUUAUUAUAAUAUGAAUAUUUUUCCUCUCACCUAUUAAACUAAAUUGCUCUCUUAAUUUCAAUGCCUUCGUCAGAUCCCGCGUGUUUAAAAGACAUCAUGACCUCAUGCUGUCAGUUGUGAUGUUGUGUAAAGAUCCUAGUUACUUGAGAAGCAUGCCACAAAUGAGUCAGAAGCAAGAAAUGGUACUGUUAUGAAAGAGGAAGCAAAUGUUAAGGUGACUCCAAGUAAAAUUUAAUAAAAAAAAAAUAAAUAAAUAAAUAAAAAAGGAGAAAAAUACCCAGUUAAUUUACCUAAUUAAAUUACAAGUAAUUGUUCUCUUGAAAAUUUGCAACGUAAAUCAUUCUCAUCUUCUGGAUCGAGCAUCCUUCCCCUGGAAAUAAAUAAACCUAAUUAAUUCCUGAUUUUGUUCUUAGUAAUCACCACAAUGGCACAGCAGAGACUGGAAAAAGCUCCUCAGGAUACGUGAAUGGAGUCAAUGGGAAAUUGAAAUCAUCGUUGGAGAGGAAUUGCUCCUUGCGCAGCAAAAAAAUUAAAUCCAGUAAUGUUCCCGUGAAAAAAGAUAAAGAUACUCCCACCGCUCCGAUUACAACCAAAAGGAAAUUAUCAUUCGACUCAAGGACUCAUUCUUCCAGGAAUCGCAAACGGUUGAGGAGCUCAAAUAUUUCCCUUGUUUAAUCGCGCUGUAUGGAGCCCAUUAUUCUCAUAUAUUUCUAAUUGUCGUAAUUCUCAUCAUGAUAAUGCAUCAUUUCAGUUCUGCAAUAGCCAGGUCUGGAGCCCAUCGGCUCUUUUAUUAAUACUUUUUGCAAUCUCCAUCGUAUUAAUAUUUGGACGCAUUUCUAUCAAACGGAACUAUGUGCAUUGAGACAUGAGCCCUGAGACCCAUGAGAAUACAUGUAUAACGGGGCUCACAUCAUAAUGCACAUCGACGGUGAAACUACCAAACCACGUAUCUCGGUUUGCGACGUCGCAGACUUCCUGUCAUGCUUUAUUUUUUAAAUGUAAAACUACUUAACGUCCAGUCUUGAAAAUUUCUGUGAUUUUUCCUCUUCGUGCGGAAAAAAUUCUGUGAAAAUUUCAAGGAAUGAUAUUGAUUUGGUCUAUUUCAAAAAAAAAAAUGUGAGCGUAGAUUUUUAAACACCGCAAACGAGAUACGUGGUUUGGUAGUUUCACCGUCGACAUAGUUCCGUGUGAUAGAAAUACGUCCAUUUAUAUAUCACCAGGCAUGUGAAUCAGCUCCAUCAAUCGUUUCACAACUUUAAUUUUGCCUGAAAAAUCAUGGUAUAUAUUUGAAGCUCAACUUCUACAUAUUUCGUUCUUUUUGCAAACUAUCUUGGCUGUCUCAUUGCGAAAGAUUCAAGUUUUAGAAGUUUUGAGGUGUUACUUAUCCACUUUCAAAAGGCAUCUCAGUGCACGCCUUUCCACCGGUGCUCAUGCUAGUAACGCGUCAAAGGCGUUAAUAUAAAAAUAGGCGAGUUUUGAUACUAGACUCAUGCGAAAAGCACAGUUUAAAAAAAGGAAAAAUUAAUGGUAAGCAUACUGUAAAUUUCUGUGAUCGUAAGGCGGAUUAUUAUUUUGCCACUCCGUCAUUGAUCAUCAAAAUGAUCGAUCUAACUCUGUUCGCAAGGCCAAUGUAACCGCCCAAUUUAAGCUGUUAUCUUAUGUAUUUUUGUCUGUUUAAUUCCCCGUGCUUUAAAUGUUUGACUCGCAGACCUAUUUCCUUCAUUUUCUUGUAAACUUAGCGCUUCGCACUAUUCUCUGUUUUGUGCCACUAUAAUUUCAAAUCCAAAUGAAUCAACCGUUUUUUCCGCACCUCAACUAUCACACCCUUUAUACUGUUGGGUGUUUAGUAAACUUUCAAUCGACACCUGUGGCUGUAUCAAAGAACCAUCUUCAAAGUACACUCUGUAGGGCCAGCUAGGAGGUAGCUGCAAUGACUACAGAAAAUUUGAUGAUGGUUUUCAGCCACUGGAAUCACAAUGUGUUUUCAUAGUGUCACUGAAAGUAAUAUGCUCACCUUAGUCAUUGGUAUGUUAAAAAAGGCCACAGAAUUUAUUCAUUAAACAAAUUCAUUCAGUUACUAGUAUACGGCUAUUGCAAUUGAUAUCCAGUUCACCAUUUCUUUAAUUAUGUAACAAUAAGGCUCAUUACAAAAAUUAUGUUCUUUUUGAUGUUUACAGUCCUUAAGAGAUAGUGCCAUGGCCCUUCAAAGGAACCGGUUGAAUUCUAUUGUGUUUGUUGUGAAGAGCGUACCACCAAGAGCAUCAUCAUUUGUCGUUAUUAAUUGUUGUGUCAGAAUUAGUAAUAACACUCUCGGAACAUUAUAACGAACAUUAAAAAUUUUUUACGAAAUAACCAAUUCAAAGAUUUAAAUAGGCACUAGCCAAGGUACAAAUUUAAGUGUCUUGAUAUGUUUUGCCGUCUCAAAGGUUCAAGUAGAACAUGACUUGCGCAAUAAAUAUUACUAAAGUAAAUUCCUAACGAGAAAAACCAAAGUCCUUGUUAAUCAAAUCGUCGAUUUGCCUUCCAUUGACGUUAGUGAUGUUUUACUCAAAGACCUAUUUUAGUUCAGACUUAUUUCAAAAUGUAAAUGAAACUGAGUACUGAUCAAUUGAUGAUAAAAUUCAGGUGCUCUUUGUGGAGGCUCUUCAGAACCGGUCAACUGUCCUUACUACUUAACUAUCAGUUAAGAUGCAGUUAAAAUCAUUGUUCCUAUUCAGAAUAUGUUAAUAAUUGUAACUUUGUUUCUCUUUUUCCCCUUUUCUUUGUAUAGUCUCGUUUAAAUUAUUUGCAUGAAUUCUCGUUUUUGUAAAUAACUAAUAAGCUUCUAAAGCUUUACUCUACGUUUAAUUACUAUCAAGUCUCUUCUGAAGUUCUAGGAAACGUUGUAAACAAAUUGUUAUUUCAUAUUUUUUGUUAGAAUUGAAUUUAUCGGUUACAUAUUUAUCUCUCGGAUAAGAUCUUUAAAGGGUUAUCAUUCCCUGAAAGAAAGGGUGAUCCUUUUUUUCAUGUCUGUUGAAUCUAUUAUAUUGACCUUCUUCAUUGGUUAUUAGGAAAGAAAAAAUCAUCUUUAAAGACUAUGAUUUUAUAGUUUUAUCAUUUCAGCAUUUUCAUCUGGUCUUAUUAAUACUUGUUCAAUUGUUCACUUUGAACCGUCAAAGCACUUGACCAAUUAUUGUGUCGUUUG
rnacentral:lncRNA from 1 species